rnacentral:RNase_P_RNA from 1 species
CCAGUCGGCCGGGCGACCGCUGCCCGCAAGGGCGGAGGAAAGUCCGGGCUCCACACGGACACGGCGCCGGAUAACGUCCGGCGGGGGCGACCCCAGGGAAAGCGCCACAGAAAGGAAACCGCCCUUCGACUUUUCCUAACGGAAAAAGUCUUGGGGUAAGGGUGAAAGGGUGCGGUAAGAGCGCACCGCGUCGGCGGCAACGUCGGCGGCAUGGCAAGCCCCGCCGGGAGCAAGACCGAAUAGGAACGACGCGCGGGGAGGCUUGCCUCCUGCGCGGGGCCUGUCCGUAGGCCUGGUCGUUCGGGUAGGUUGCUUGAGGCGCCCGGCGACGGGCGUCCCAGAGGAAUGGUCGCCGCGUCGGACAUUCGUGUCCGGCCUUACAGAACCCGGCUUAUAGGCCGACUGGUGUU